rnacentral:snoRNA from 1 species
AAACCUUUGCCACACUCUGGCCGUUACCGUUCAAUCAUCCGAUUGAAAAACAUGUUCCUACGGUAUGGGCCUAUUUUGACGCAAAGAAGAUAAACACACUUGACCCGCUACUCACCGCGAUAUUCUUGGAGAUUUUUUUCUCGAGAUGGAUAUAGUGGUCCAUCUUAGUGGUCUACAU